GUAGGCAGCAAGCGUUGUUCGGAGUUACUGGGCGUAAAGGGUGUGUAGGCGGUUGUUUAAGUUUGGUGUGAAAUCUCCCGGCUCAACUGGGAGGGUGCGCCGAAUACUGAGCGACUAGAGUGCGGGAGAGGAAAGUGGAAUUCCUGGUGUAGCGGUGAAAUGCGUAGAUAUCAGGAGGAACACCGGUGGUGUAGACGGCUUUCUGGACCGUAACUGACGCUGAGACACGAAAGCGUGGGUAGCAAACAGGAUUAGAUACCCUGGUAGUCCACGCCCUAAACGAUGCAUAUUUGGUGUGGGCAGUUCAUUCUGUCCGUGCCGGAGCUAACGCGUUAAAUAUGCCGCCUGGGGAGUACAGUCGCAAGGCUG
rnacentral:rRNA from 1 species